UGCUCUCUGAUUUUAGCGGCGGACGGGUGAGUAACACGUGGGCAACCUGCCCUACAGAUGGGGAUAACUCCGGGAAACCGGGGCUAAUACCGAAUAAUCAGUUUGUCCGCAUGGACAAACUCUGAAAGACGGUUUCGGCUGUCACUGUAGGAUGGGCCCGCGGCGCAUUAGCUAGUUGGUGGGGUAAUGGCCUACCAAGGCGACGAUGCGUAGCCGACCUGAGAGGGUGAUCGGCCACACUGGGACUGAGACACGGCCCAGACUCCUACGGGAGGCAGCAGUAGGGAAUCUUCCACAAUGGACGAAAGUCUGAUGGAGCAAUGCCGCGUGAGCGAAGAAGGUUUUCGGAUCGUAAAGCUCUGUUGUAAGGGAAGAACACGUACGGGAGUAACUGCCCGUGCCAUGACGGUACCUUAUUAGAAAGCCACGGCUAACUACGUGCCAGCAGCCGCGGUAAUACGUAGGUGGCAAGCGUUGUCCGGAAUUAUUGGGCGUAAAGCGCGCGCAGGCGGUUCUUUAAGUCUGAUGUGAAAGCCCACGGCUCAACCGUGGAGGGUCAUUGGAAACUGGAGAACUUGAGUACAGAAGAGGAAAGCGGA
rnacentral:rRNA from 1 species